AUGGCCACUGGCCAGUACAGCUCAUUUUUCGGUCGGUGAAACAUCUUUUAAUUUCUAGACUAUAUUUAAAAGAAUCUUUAUACUUAUUAAAUUAAUGUUUGCAAGAUCGGUUUGGAUAACAAAUCAACACUUCAAGUCACUGUCUGAGCUGAGCUCUGAGAAGAUCUGAGCUGGGAAUCGAAGAUGUUUACCGCUGAGGCUGUGCCAACCUGGUCGACUUAGAUGGUUUCUAAUCGAAAAUUCAGAAUAUAUAUUUUAAUUAAUCU